GCGGGGCUGCGGGGGGUCGCUUGGGGUCGUCGGAGGCCCGGAGCGGAAGGGACUCACACGGCCCGCGAGACCCCGAGGGGCGGGGCCGACGGCGGGUGGGCCGAGGACCGCGUCCUCCCAGCCCCGCGCAGCGCCAGGCCGCCGGCUCCAGCUCUCCCUCCUCUGGACCCUGCCUAUCCCCUAGGAUCCAGCAGGGAGAAGAAGGCAAUGGCUGCUGGGCCUCUUGCACUGAGAGCUCAGUUUCAGGAGUCUGACAUUCGUGGAUGUGUCUGUGGAUUUCACUUAGGAGGAGUGGACUCCUCUAGAUUCUGCCCAGAGAAACUUGGAUGGGAAAGUGAUGCUGGAAGACUACAGGAACCUGGUUCCGCUGGAUGAAGCUACCGUUGAAUCUUAAUCUGUCUGAUGCCAGGACAAGAAAGUAUCGAUGGAGUGCUAUGGUCUGCUCUUCCCCAGGCAUCAUCUGAUUCAUUCAUCCCAACAAUCCUACAGGUGCCUGGCUCAAUAAAUACUUAAUGAAUGAUUUACGGUGUUCAGAAGAUCUGGCUGCUCGACAGAUAAUGCACUGUAAGUGGCAAAUGUAAGUAGGAAUUCCAGUUGGGUGCACACUGAAAUCAUCUGGCUGUGCAGAAGGAGUAGCUGAACUAUUGUGCAAGGGGUAGAAGAAAUGUAAAAGGAGAAAAGAAAGAAAUCAACUUGCCCCAGAAAAGGCAAGACCUGCUGCCCAAGCCCCACACCCACCCCACCCUCUGCAGGCUCUUGGCCUCUGUUGUAGCAGGUACCGGCAGUAAACACUGAAGGAUCUGUGCUUCUUCGGGACCACUGGAUCUGGGAACUCUUGCUCCUGUCCUGACAGGCACCAAAAUUAUGUACAUCCCACAAGUUAACUAGGCAUUCCAAGGUGAUAAGAGAGUAGGGAGUAUGGGCUCUCACACAAAAGUCAGGUUUAGGAAGAAAAGAAAGGAAGAGAGAGCUGUAUAUUGUUUAACAUACACUAGUAAUGGUGAUAACAGCAGUGACAGUCAUUGAGCCCUUAUUGUGGUUACUAUGCACAUUAGAGGAUCAUUAAUUUAAUGAGAGACAAAAUGGUCAGGGUCUGAAAGGCUGUCCGAUCCUGGAAGAGCUACGGUUUUUGAUCCUUAGUCCUCAAGUUCUAAGCCCUCAACACUUCACUAACUAUGAGUAAGGCCACCCUAACGAUUUUCUGUUUUCCAGGGAGACUGUCAUGUACUGUGGGGAAAAUAAAAUUUCCUCUCAGUUGGUCACACUUUUGGAACAGUAUUAAAUACAGGAGUAGUACUGAGCAUCAUGCCGUGAUUCUGUUGUCACUGUGAAUUCUUUUAGUGUUUUAUUUUUUGGUUGAUAAUAUUUUUGUUAAUAUUUUUAUUUUCAAAUCAGGAUUGGAUGCUUGAUAUUAUCAAAUGCUUUUGAAGCAUCCAUGAGGUUGAUCAUAUGUCAUAUGCUGAUCAUUAAGAAUAUGCUUCCAUUUUCUCAACACGUGUAGAUUUCUGGCCAUGUGGAAUUUUUGAGUCACACCAGUCCUCCAUCCUUUGUACAUGACUCCACUCUUUUUUUGGUUUCCCAUGUUCUUGGAGAGAUCUCUUAGGCCAGUUUUUAAAAUUCGUAGGUAACCUAUUUUCUUCUUAAACAGCAAAUCUUCAGAAUUAACUUUUAAGUUAGAUCUCUAAAUUCCAUGAAUAUAUACUGAAUCUUACUACUGAGUCUUUUGUAGUAUAUAAUAUCUCUAAAUUCCAUGAAUAUAUACUGAAUCUUACUACUGAGUCUUUUGUAGUAUAUAAUAUCUCUAAAUUCCAUGAAUAUAUACUGAAUCUUACUACUGAGUCUUCUGUAGUAUAUAAUAUUUCAACUGAAAAUGAUUUUUUCCAAAAUAACAAAUAUUUUGUUCUCAUUUUUUGAAAUGUCAUAUAUACAGAAGAAUGUGUAUAAAAUGUAUUACUAUAGAGCAAAAAUUUACAUACCCUUGUAAGCCCUUUAUAAAUAUUAACUAAUUUUUGUUCUUGUAUCAACACUAUGCUAUAAGUAGCAUUUAACACAGGAGGAAACAAGCACAGACAGGUGAAGUGAGGCCCAAGGUCACACAGCCAGCAGUGCUGGAGCCAGGUAGGGCUCCAGAGUUGUCAUCUUAACCAUUACACCAUACUGUUUCUCUUUAUAAUUCAUAAAGGCAAAUGAAUAAUAAAGAAAGCCAACACCCAGGCACUCAAACUCAGAUUCAGAAACAGAACAUUGUUAGAAUCUUAGAAAUGCUUUGCACACACUCCUCAUUCACAUCGUUUUACCUCCACCCCAAACAUAACCACUGUUCUCAUUCUGUGAGCAUUCCCUGCCCGUUUUUCUUUAUAGUAUUGCCAUCCAUAAAUGAACCUCUAAACAAUAUAUUUUAGUUUUAGUCUGUCUUUAAACUUUAUAUAAAUAGACACUAUAUAUUCUUAUAUGACUUAGCUUAAAUAAUUUUAUUCAUAUUGAUAUGUGUAGCUUUAGUUCAUUAAUGUUCACUGUCUUAGUUCAGGCUGCUCUAACAGAAUACCAUAGACUAGGUGGCUUAAACAUCAAACAUUUGCUUCCCAUACUUCUAGAGGCUGGAGGUCUGAGAAUUAGGGUGUCAGUGUAGUAGGGCUCUUGGUGAGAGGCCCUCCUCCUUGUUCACUGACAGCUGCCUUCUCCCUGUAUCCUGACCUGAUGGAGAGCAGAGAGGAAACAAGCUCUCUCAUAGUGUCACUUAUAGGAGCAUUAAUCCUAUUACAAGGGCUUUACCCUCAUGAUUUAGUGACCUUUCAAAAGCCCCACCUCCCAUUACUAUCCUAUUGGGGAUUAGGUUUCAGCAUGAGUUUUGGGGAGACACAUGAAGUCCAUAGUUAUUUGCCAUUUUCAAUUAUUCUAUUAUAUAAAUAUUUGACAAUUUAGUUAUCCAUCCUAUUGGUGGACAUUUGGGUUCAGUUUUUUGCUGUUGUGCACAAUGUUCCUUUAAAGUUUUGAAAUGUAGUGUACCUUUGCUGGGUACAUUUAACUAAGUAUAUGUACCUGCUGGUGGGUUUGUCCAGUCUGCAUUACUAGAUAGUGCAAACCCGUUUUUCAAAUACCAGAACCAAGUGACACACCCAUCAGCAGUGUGUAAAAGUUCCCAUUACUGCAUAUCUUUCUAACAUCUGAGGCAGUCUGAAUUUUUACAUUUUGCUACCCAGGUGGGUGGUGGUAACAGUAUCUAAUUGGAGCAUUAAUCAGUCUUCUCUUGGUUAAUGCUGAUUGUUGCCUUUGCUUGUUUCCUCACCAUUCAGAUUUCCCUUAAGUGCCUGCUCUUGCCCAUUUUUUUAGUGGGCUUAGUGUUCCACAGAUGGUGUUCUCCAAGUGUGGGUUCUUGUUCUUUGUAGCUUAUAUGGUACAAAUAUCUUCUUCUGGUAUGUAACUUUUUUUUUUACUUCCCUUUUUGAUGCUUUUUGAUGAAUGGAAGCAUUUAAUUAUUCUUCUGAAGUUCAUUCUCCCAUUUGGUUUUUAUUCCUUACUGUUUAAUAUUUAAAAAUUUUAUUUCAUGAACCUCUACAUGGUGCCCAAAUUUGGUAUAUCUGUGUCUCAUUUAUCUUUGAAUGGGUGCAGUUCUGUCUGGACUUUGUGUAACAGGAUCCCCCUUUGCCCUUUAUGUUGU